UACGAAGGGGGCUAGCGUUGCUCGGAAUCACUGGGCGUAAAGGGUGCGUAGGCGGUCCGCUAAGUCGGAAGUGAAAUCUCACGGCUCAACCUUGAAAUCGCUUUCGAUACUGGCGGACUUGAGGCAGGUAGGGGAAGGUGGAAUUCCUGGUGUAGCGGUGAAAUGCGCAGAUAUCAGGAGGAACACCGGUGGCGAAGGCGGCCUUCUGGGCCUGUUCUGACGCUGAGGAGCGAAAGCAUAGGGAGCGAACAGG
rnacentral:rRNA from 1 species